rnacentral:rRNA from 1 species
CCUACGGGUGGCUGCAGUGGGGAAUCUUGCACAAUGGGGGAAACCCUGAUGCAGCGACGCCGCGUGAGCGAUGAAGCCCUUCGGGGUGUAAAGCUCUUUCGGCAGGGAAGACUUUGACGGUACCUGCAGAAGCAGCUGCGGCUAACUACGUGCCAGCAGCCGCGGUAAUACGUAGGCAGCAAGCGUUGUUCGGAGUUACUGGGCGUAAAGGGUGCGUAGGCGGUUCCCUAAGUUUGGUGUGAAAUCUCCCGGCUCAACUGGGAGGGUGCGCCGAAAACUGGGGAGCUAGAGUGUGGGAGAGGUGAGUGGAAUUCCUGGUGUAGCGGUGAAAUGCGUAGAUAUCAGGAGGAACACCGGUGGUGUAGACGGCUCACUGGACCAUUACUGACGCUGAGGCACGAAAGCGUGGGGAGCAAACAGGAUUAGAUACCCCAGUAGUC